AAAAAAAAAUGAAAGAGUGAUAAAAUUGCAAUAAAACAAGGAGGUUCAACAUACAAACCGAAAAACAAGAAAUGAAAACCAGCGGAGAUGAUAUCAAUUUCAGUUAAAGAUAUAAACAGAAAAGACGGAUAACAAAAUGUAACAAAAACAGUGAACAAUGACCUGCACUAUAACUCCACAGAAAUCAAAUAAAUAGAAGGGCGUGUACAAAAAGGAAAAUUGUCCACCCACCCUAACCAAAACAUAAAUAAGAUUUAAAUGAAAAAAAAAA
rnacentral:misc_RNA from 1 species